GAUGAACGCUGGCGGCGUGCCUAAUACAUGCAAGUCGAGCGAACGGACGAGAAGCUUGCUUUUCUGAUGUUAGCGGCGGACGGGUGAGUAACACGUGGAUAACCUACCUAUAAGACUGGGAUAACUUCGGGAAACCGGAGCUAAUACCGGAUAAUAUUUUGAACCGCAUGGUUCAAAAGUGAAAGACGGUCUUGCUGUCACUUAUAGAUGGAUCCGCGCUGCAUUAGCUAGUUGGUAAGGUAACGGCUUACCAAGGCAACGAUGCAUAGCCGACCUGAGAGGGUGAUCGGCCACAGUGGAACUGAGACACGGGCAGACUCCUACGGGAGGCAGCAGUAGGGAAUCUUCCGCAAUGGGCGAAAGCCUGACGGAGCAACGCCGCGUGAGUGAUGAAGGUCUUCGGAUCGUAAAACUCUGUUAUUAGGGAAGAACAUAUGUGUAAGUAACUGUGCACAUCUUGACGGUACCUAAUCAGAAAGCCACGGCUAACUACGUG
rnacentral:rRNA from 1 species